CAGCCGCCGCGGUAAUACGUAGGGUGCGAGCGUUAAUCGGAAUUACUGGGCGUAAAGCGUGCGCAGGCGGUGCUGCAAGACCGAUGUGAAAGCCCCGGGCUUAACCUGGGAACUGCAUUGGUGACUGCAGCGCUGGAGUAUGGCAGAGGGGGGUUGAAUUCCACGUGUAGCAGUGAAAUGCGUAGAGAUGUGGAGGAACACCGAUGGCGAAGGCAGCCCCCUGGGCCAAUACUGACGCUCAUGCACGAAAGCGUGUGGAGCAAACAGGAUUAGAUACCCCUGUAGUCCCUGUCUCUUAUAC
rnacentral:rRNA from 1 species